UCCUACGGGGGGCAGCAGUGGGGAAUAUUGCACAAUGGGGGAAACCCUGAUGCAGCGACGCCGCGUGAGCGAUGAAGUAUUUCGGUAUGUAAAGCUCUAUCAGCAGGGAAGAAAAUGACGGUACCUGACUAAGAAGCCCCGGCUAACUACGUGCCAGCAGCCGCGGUAAUACGUAGGGGGCGAGCGUUAUCCGGAAUUACUGGGUGUAAAGGGAGCGUAGACGGCGAAGUAAGCCUGAAGUGGAAGCCCGCGGCCCAACCGCGGAACUGCUUUGAGAACUGUUUUGCUGGAGUAUGGGAGGGGUA
rnacentral:rRNA from 1 species